rnacentral:rRNA from 1 species
GGGGAAUAUUGGACAAUGGGGGCAACCCUGAUCCAGCCAUGCCGCGUGAGUGAUGAAGGCCUUAGGGUUGUAAAGCUCUUUCAGUAGGGAAGAUAAUGACGGUACCUACAGAAGAAGCCCCGGCUAACUUCGUGCCAGCAGCCGCGGUAAUACGAAGGGGGCUAGCGUUGUUCGGAUUUACUGGGCGUAAAGCGCACGUAGGCGGAUUGGUCAGUUAGGGGUGAAAUCCCGGAGCUCAACUCCGGAACUGCCUUUAAUACUGCCAGUCUAGAGUCCGAGAGAGGUGAGUGGAACUCCUAGUGUAGAGGUGGAAUUCGUAGAUAUUAGGAAGAACACCAGUGGCGAAGGCGGCUCACUGGCUCGGUACUGACGCUGAGGUGCGAAAGCGUGGGGAGCAAAC